GCCCCCAUGGCCCAAUUGGCAGAGGCAACGGACUUAAAAUCCGUGAGUUCUGGGUUCGACUCCCAGUGGGGGCA
rnacentral:tRNA from 1 species